rnacentral:rRNA from 1 species
UACGUAGGGGGCAAGCGUUGUCCGGAUUUAUUGGGCGUAAAGAGCGUGUGGGCGGUUUGGUAGGUCCGUUGUGAAAACUCGAGGCUCAACCUCGAGACGCCGAUGGAAACCAUCAGACUAGAGUCCGGAAGAGGAGAGUGGAAUUCCUGGUGUAGCGGUGAAAUGCGCAGAUAUCAGGAAGAACACCCGUGGCUAAGGCGGCUCUCUAGUACGGUACUGACGCUGAGACGCGAAAGCGUGGGGAGCGAACAGG